rnacentral:rRNA from 1 species
AGUGAACGCUGGCGGUAGGCCUAACACAUGCAAGUCGAACGGCAGCACAGUAAGAGCUUGCUCUUACGGGUGGCGAGUGGCGGACGGGUGAGGAAUACAUCGGAAUCUACUUUUUCGUGGGGGAUAACGUAGGGAAACUUACGCUAAUACCGCAUACGACCUACGGGUGAAAGCAGGGGAUCUUCUGACCUUGCGCGAUUGAAUGAGCCGAUGUCGGAUUAGCUAGUUGGCGGGGUAAAGGCCCACCAAGGCGACGAUCCGUAGCUGGUCUGAGAGGAUGAUCAGCCACACUGGAACGGAGACACGGUCCAGACUCCUACGGGAGGCAGCAGUGGGGAAUAUUGGACAAUGGGCGCAAGCCUGAUCCAGCCAUACCGCGUGUGUGAAGAAGGCCUUCGGGUUGUAAAGCCCUUUUGUUGGGAAAGAAAAGCAGCAGGUUAAUACCCCGCUGUUCUGACGGUACCCAAAGAAUAAGCACCGGCUAACUUCGUG